CCUACGGGUGGCAGCAGUGAGGAAUAUUGGUCAAUGGGCGCAAGCCUGAACCAGCCAAGUCGCGUGAGGGAUGACGGUCCUAUGGAUUGUAAACCUCUUUUGUCGGGGAGCAAGGCCCGCCACGUGUGGCGGGAAGGAGAGUACCCGAAGAAAAAGCAUCGGCUAACUCCGUGCCAGCAGCCGCGGUAAUACGGGGGAUGAGAGCGUUAUCCGGAUUUCGUGGGUUUACAGGGUGCGUAGGCCGAAGGUUAAGUCAGUGGUCCAAUGUCGGUGCUCGACACCGGCCUGUCGUUGACACUGGUCUUCUUGAGUUAGCGAGAAGUAUGAGGAAUGCGUGGUGUAGCG
rnacentral:rRNA from 1 species